GACGUAGGAUGCAAGCGUUGUCCGGAUUUAUUGGGCGUAAAGAGUUCGUAGGCGGUUUACUAAGUCUGAUGUUAAAGACCGGGGCCCAACCCUGGGACUGCAUUGGAUACUGGUAGGCUUGAGUGUGGUAGAGGCAAGUGGAAUUCCCAGUGUAGCGGUGAAAUGCGUAGAUAUUGGGAAGAACACCAGUGGCGUAGGCGACUUGCUGGGCCAUAACUGACGCUGAGGAACGAAAGCCAGGGGAGCGAAUGGG
rnacentral:rRNA from 1 species